AACGAACGCUGGCGGCAUGCCUAACACAUGCAAGUCGAACGAAGGCUUCGGCCUUAGUGGCGCACGGGUGCGUAACGCGUGGGAACCUGCCCUCGGUUCGGAAUAACAGUUAGAAAUGACUGCUAAUACCGGAUGAUGACUUCGGUCCAAAGAUUUAUCGCCGAGGGAUGGGCCCGCGUAGGAUUAGCUAGUUGGUGGGGUAAAGGCCUACCAAGGCGACGAUCCUUAGCUGGUCUGAGAGGAUGAUCAGCCACACUGGGACUGAGACACGGCCCAGACUCCUACGGGAGGCAGCAGUGGGGAAUAUUGGACAAGUGGCGAAAGCCUGAUCCAGCAAUG
rnacentral:rRNA from 1 species